CUAAAGAGAUCUUCCCUUGUCUCUAUCUUUGCAACAUUUUCAACUUAGAUGAAGACGUAGAAGGUUUACGCUUCUUCGCGCCGAAGCAAUCUUUCAAAAGUUGCUUUAGUGAAGAUCUAUUGGUCGUAGAGUCUGUUACACUUUGUAUGUCUGACAAGAACUUCAUUCUACCCUCCCCUUCAAAGACUAGUUGAACUGAACGCAAUGUUCUAGAACGACAGCUCUUCCAUCGUCUUUUGGCAUCUACUGUUGCACGGUAGGAAUCUACCGUCAGGUCUUGUUCCUCUGUAGAUCAUCUGUUCUCUCCACUCAAUGGCUUUUAAGGAAACUCAUUUGGUAAAUCAGAAAUGGCGAGACAGGACCCUGAGUAAAGCGUUGUCUUCGGCAGCU